GGUUCAGGAUGAACGCUAGCUACAGGCUUAACACAUGCAAGUCGAGGGGCAGCAUGGGAUUAGCUUGCUAAUCCUGAUGGCGACCGGCGCACGGGUGAGUAACGCGUAUCCAACCUUCCCCCUGCUCAGGGAUAGCCCGCUGAAAGGCGGAUUAACACCUGAUAGCUUCACUAGAUGGCAUCUGACGGUGAAUAAAGAUAACGGCAAGGGAUGGGGAUGCGUCUGAUUAGCUUGUUGGCGGGUAACGGCCCACCAAGGCAACGAUCAGUAGGGGUUCUGAGAGGAAGGUCCCCCACAUUGGAACUGAGACACGGUCCAAACUCCUACGGGAGGCAGCAGUGAGGAAUAUUGGUCAAUGGGCGGAAGCCUGAACCAGCCAAGUAGCGUGCAGGAAUGACGGCCCUAUGGGUUGUAAACUGCUUUUGUGCGGGAAUAAAGUCAUCCACGUGUGGAUGUUUGCAUGUACCGCAAGAAUAAGGACCGGCUAAUUCCGUGCCAGCCGCUGC
rnacentral:rRNA from 1 species